rnacentral:rRNA from 1 species
GCGGCGAGUGAAGCGGCAAAAGCUCAAAUUUGAAAUCUGGCGCCUUCGGUGUCCGAGUUGUAAUUUGAAGAUUGUAACCUUGGGGUUGGCUCUUGUCUAUGUUUCUUGGAACAGGACGUCACAGAGGGUGAGAAUCCCGUGCGAUGAGAUGCCCAAUUCUAUGUAAGGUGCUUUCGAAGAGUCGAGUUGUUUGGGAAUGCAGCUCUAAGUGGGUGGUAAAUUCCAUCUAAAGCUAAAUAUUGGCGAGAGACCGAUAGCGAACAAGUACAGUGAUGGAAAGAUGAAAAGAACUUUGAAAAGAGAGUGAAAAAGUACGUGAAAUUGUUGAAAGGGAAGGGUUUGAGAUCAGACUCGAUAUUUUGUGAGCCUUGCCUUCGUGGCGGGGUGACCCGCAGCUUAUCGGGCCAGCAUCGGUUUGGGCGGUAGGAUAAUGGCGUAGGAAUGUGACUUUACUUCGGUGAAGUGUUAUAGCCUGCGUUGAUGCUGCCUGCCUAGACCGAGGACUGCGAUUUUAUCAAGGAUGCUGGCAUAAUGAUCCCAAACCGCCCGUCUUG